GCACGGGUGGCAGAGUGGCCAAAUGCAUCGGUCUGUAGAACCGAAAAAUCACAGGUUCGAAUCCUGUCCCGUGCA
rnacentral:tRNA from 1 species